rnacentral:rRNA from 1 species
CGUAGGUGGCAAGCGUUGUCCGGAAUUAUUGGGCGUAAAGCGCGCGCAGGCGGUCCUUUAAGUCUGAUGUGAAAGCCCACGGCUCAACCGUGGAGGGUCAUUGGAAACUGGGGGACUUGAGUACAGAAGAGAGGAGUGGAAUUCCACGUGUAGCGGUGAAAUGCGUAGAGAUGUGGAGGAACACCAGUGGCGAAGGCGACUCUUUGGUCUGUAACUGACGCUGAGGCGCGAAAGCGUGGGGAGCAAACAGGAUUAGAUACCCUGGUAGUCCACGCCGUAAACGAUGAGUGCUAAGUGUUAGAGGGUUUCCGCCCUUUAGUGCUGCAGCAAACGCAUUAAGCACUCCGCCUGGGGAGUACGGCCGCAAGGCUG